UGGGGAAUCUUGCACAAUGGACGAAAGUCUGAUGCAGCAACGCCGCGUGGGGGAUGAAGCUUUUCGGAGUGUAAACCCCUUUCGACCCGGAAGAAUGCCCGCAAGGGUUUGACGGUACGGGUAUAAGAAGCCCCGGCUAACUACGUGCCAGCAGCCGCGGUAAUACGUAGGGGGCCAGCGUUGCUCGGAAUUACUGGGCGUAAAGGGUCCGUAGGCGGUGUGGCAAGUCGGGAGUGAAAUCUCUGGGCUUAACCCAGAGGCUGCUUCCGAAACUGCCAUGCUAGAGUGUGAGAGAGGCGAGUGGAAUUACGGGUGUAGCGGUGAAAUGCGUAGAUAUCCGUAGGAACAUCCGAGGCGAAGGCGGCUCGCUGGAUCACAACUGACGCUGAGGGACGAAAGCUAGGGGAGCAAACAGGAUUAGAUACCCUGGUAGUCCUAGCNCUAAACCAUCAGGACUUGGGGUGUGCCCUGUACGGGGCACGUCCCGUAGCUAACGCGUUAAGU
rnacentral:rRNA from 1 species